rnacentral:lncRNA from 1 species
CUGGGCCUUGCACAUGCUAAGUACACAUUCUACCACUGAACUAUACUUGCAGCCUCAACAUUUUAGAUGUUAAAAAUAACUGAUUACUUUUUAAAUCUUUUGCAGUGGUUUACAGUCUCAACAGCAGAGAGUGACAUACCAUCAAUGGUCCCCACGUCACCACCAGAAGGGAAGAUUUACUACUUUUCUUCUUGUUUGCCAAUGAGUGAAACAGUAUCUCAUCUUUCUGUCAAUGGCCAAGUUUCUUUAUCUGCUGUUUUCAUGUUGGUCAGCAAAGGUAGUGUAGUGGCACUGGUCCCCCCAAGGUCACCACUUAUCUGUAUUUUAAAAAGCUGAUGCCUGGAUUUCAUCACAAACAUACUGAAUCAGAAUCUCUGGAGCAGGCCCAGGGAUUUGUGUGUGUGUGUGUGUGUGUGUAUGCUUAUAGUUUAAUUUCCAUAAGUGAUUCUGAUACAGCUAGCAGGGUACACACACGUUCAUCAAAAUUUCAAAAGCAGUGAUUUAUGAAUUAAAUAUUCAAGAAAAUACCCAGGUCAUCAUUAUGAUUAGAAGUUCAAAAACUCAAUUCACAUACAACUUUUUAAUUUCAUAAAUUGUUUAAGCAAGGAAUGCCUGCAUUUUCCUUCCUUUGCUUUAGAAACUAAAGCCCAAGACGUGGAGAGCAACUAUGGAGUGAAUAUUCUAGAAUGACAAUUUUCUGGCCAACUGUAAAUCCCUUCUUAAAAGGCAUAAAUACUGAUCUUUUUGACUAAGAAACAAGUUCAGGGGAAUUCUGGCCUCUUUUUGAGACUUUGUCCCAUCAAACCUAGAAUAAUUGUGAAAGAUCUUCUCCUCUAGUUAUCAGUCUAGACCCUGGCAAAAUAAAGUGUUUUAAAACACAUUGGCCCCUAAGGAGCUCAGCUGUUGGACAAGUGAAGUCUUAGCAUGACAUAAGCUUUUUCUUGGCACUCCUGGAGAUCAGAAAGGGGCCACCUUAUUGUCACACACACCGGGAGUAGCCACCAGAUGGCGAGGUUCCCUUAAUUUCCUCAAAGCCCAAAGUAAUUUAAAGGUGAGAGAGAUUAAGUGACUUUAAGUUCUCUGAUUAAAACAAAAGUGGAGUGAUUUACAUCUGGACCAUGAGUAAUCAGGGCUGCUGAGCAUUCUAUCAAACAUGUGCCCUAAUUAAGUUCUUCCAAGCUCCAUGCCAUAGCUAGAAGUGCACACCUUCCUAGAGAUCUAUGGUUUGUCCAAUUUCUCUGUGUCUUCAGUGCCUUGCUCAUUUAAAGAGGGACAAUAGCAGAACCCACAUUGCAGGGCGGUUAUAAGAAAAUGAUUAAUAUAUUUGAAGUGCUGGCAAGUUUUUGUUGUUAUUGUUUUGUUUUGUGGUAGCAGGGAUUGAAUCCAGGGGCACUGAAGCACUGAGCCACAUCCCCUGCCUUUUUUUUUUUUUUUUUUGAGACAGGGUCUUUGGGCCUCAAUAAAUUGCUGAGGUUGGCUUUGAACUUGUGACCCUCCUGCCUCAGUCUCUAGAGCCACUGGGAUUUCCAGCAUGUUGUGCCCAGCUCUCUGCCAGUCAAGUUCUAAGUAUUCAGUAAGCUGUGUGUGUAAGAGAAAGAAAGAGACGGAGAGAGAUAAGAAAAUCAAGACCUCUGGUUUUAAAACUUCAUUUUAAUUACUUUUAUGUAGAGUUCCUUUCAAUUUCCCGCCCAUUCUUAGAAAGCCACACAAAAUGUCAAAACAGAUCAUGACCUUUAGAUACAUAAGUAGAAAAGAGAGCUCAGGUUUUGUGAAAAAUCAGUGUACAAAAUCCUCAAGGAAAGGAAGGUGUUUUUUUGUUUUGUUUUGUUUUGUUUUUUUCUGCAUGAAGAAUUUGAUUCCAUGUAUAAAGUUCAAUUUGCUCCUAAUUGCUCUAUGAAGAGAGGGGAAGGAACCCUAGGAUAAAUUGAGAAGCUGGUAAUUUGGCUCUUGCCCUUUUUGUAGAUUUUCCCCUUUCCUACAGACUCCUGUGCCACCUGAAGUUUACCCUCCUCUGUUUCUCAAUCCUUCCCCCCUGGAGGGCCAAGACAAUGGAUGAGAGAUAACAGAGCACACUCCAUUAUGUCUGUUGUGCAGACCAAGGGGCUGAGGGGCUCUGCUCUGCCUCCCCUUUCCCUCUGUCUCCCUCAGGAAGCUCCCACAGGACAGGAGUCUGUGAAUGACCUGAGUGUGGUACUGUUUGCGCCUGGGCACCCUUCUGGGUGGGGGCAACUCUGCUUCUAAGGAGAGACUGAUGUAGAAGAGCAGCCAUUUAUUGAGUUUUCUCUAUUCUAGGUACUCUUAUUUGAAUGUUCACUUAAUUCCCACAAAAACUCCAUGACUAAAGUUUUAUCAUGCAUUAUCUGAGGCCAUAAAACUAUAGAUGAAAGAGUUCAGGUCUUGACCUUAGGUUUGUAUGAGUCUACAGUUCAAGUGUUGGGAUGGAAUUUAUCAGAACAGAAGCAAGAGGUAAGAUGGAAGUUUUAAUGUAAUUCUGGAACAAAACACAAAAAUAAUCGUAACAUUAGCUCUAUCAACACAGCCAUGAACAUAACCUACUUCUGGGACACCUGUGCCCCUAAUAAAAGGAAGUCCUUUAAUAUUAUUUCUUUGAAAAUUGUUUAGUGCCAUGUACUGUCAUAAACUUUGGCAUCAGGUGUGUGUUAGAAACUGGUUUCACCAUUUAAAAUCCAAGUAGUUUGGGGAAAACACCGUAUACCUAUCUCUGAGCCUUGAUAUCCUCACUUAUAAAAUGAGAAAGAGAAUUAUCUACUUCUUAGUGUUGUAAGAAUUAAAUGAGUUAACAUAUAUCACUCAUGAUGUGCAGUUUCAGUCUUCAUGUCACAUUCAAAUGAAUGCAAUCUGAUAUCCAAAAGAAAACAAAAGUGAUCCCAAUCUUUAUAGUCAUCUCUCCUAGAAGGUUAUGUGGGAACUAAUUCCAAAAGCCAACAAAGGGGAUAGGUGUGGGGAAGGAGGCCUAUGGGCCAAAUACAGAAGUUUCUUAAAAUUGGUAUCAUUUGAAAAUAAUUGGCAUACCUAUGCAAAGUUACUACCUGUGACCUGAUAUAAGAGGUAAUAGACAAAUAAAUAUUAGUUUUCUUGCUUCUUACUUUACUGACUUGCCCAAUCUCUAUGUUCUUCUUUAGGCAAACUGUCUCUGGAAAUAUCUGUUUCCUCCUCCAAUCCCCCACUGCCCAUCAGCAAGCAUAGGAGCUCUUUCUAUAAAAUCAUAAUUCCUCAUACAGAUGGUAAUGCAGUGGGAAAAAGUCUAGGCCAGGAACAAAAUAGUGGGGGACUCCUGGGCCAUUCUCUAAGUUAUCCUCAAUGGCAACCUACUAACAUAGUAGACAAGCUAUUCUUGGCCUUGGGCUCCCUAUUGCAAGAUGUUUAGUAACCUGAGCGCCCAGGUACUACGUUCCUGGAACUCUUCUCUAGGCAGAUGACUCUGUUCACUAACAGUGGGAUUUUAUCCACCCUAGUCCACUUACCUUUUAGUAAUUUAAAAACUUCUUUUAUGCAAAGUUUUUCCUCCUUGGGAUGUUUCUUUUUAUGUAGUGUGUGUGUGUGUAAUUUAUUUGUUUAUUAAUUUAUUUUUAUUUUUUCAGUAUUGGAGAUUGAAACCAGGAGUGGUCUACCUCUGAGCCACAUCCUCAGCCUUUUUGUUUUGAGAUGGGGUCUCACUAAAUUGCACAGAUUGGCCUCAAACUUGGGUCUUGAAUGGCCUCAGUUUCCUGAGUAGCUGGGAUUACAGGAAUAAGCCACUGCAUCCGGCUUUGAAUGUUUCUUAUUUUAGGCACUGCUUUUGUCCUAAAAUAAUAAUAAGGAUCAUGGAUUUUAUUGAUAAUUAAAAUAUAAUUUUGGAAAUAAGAACUAGAUACAGUAAGUCUUGGUGAAAAGCCUCACAAUGAAACUUAUUUAUAUUCACAAGCCACAUAACCAGAUCCCACGGUCUUCAAUCAUUUUAACUUUAUUAACUAAAUAUUUGAGAGUCAGAGAAUUUUGUUUUAUUUAUUUGCCUCUCCUCUCAUUUUAUGUUUUUCCUUUUUGUCAUAAGUGUAUUUACCUCAUUAGUCAUUUUAAAACAAGAUUUUGGUUCUGGUAAUGGUUUCAAUUUUUUUUCUGUUCUGUAUAUCAAUAGUAUUUCCCCCCCUUAUCCACAUUUUUUCUCCUGAUUGCUUUUUUCUAUAACUUAUUCUGUCUCCUUGAAAUGAAUUUUUAACUCAUUUAUUUUAACAUAUGACUCUUUAAUGGCAAAUCAAUUCUGUUAUUCUUCCUAAAUAUUACUUUAACUGUUUACUGUACAUUUUGACCUAUAUGAUCAAUAAGUGACCUUCAUUAUCAGUAAGAGAUAUAUUUCACAUCACCUACCUUGUGAUUUUUCUCUUGAAGCCAAGGGUUUGAUAAAAUAUUUUUUAGUGGUGAGACACAUGAAAUAUUUAAGUGAUUGUUUUUGGUUUUGACUUCUAAAUUAAUUGAUUGAAGUCAGAGGACAUAUCUCCUAUGAUGUUGAUUAUUUCAAAUUUAUUGAGGCCUCUUUUUUUCACCCCGUGAGAGAGUUCUUUCAAACCAUCGACCUCCUCUGUGAUCCCUGGUGCUCUCCCACGCCAGUCCUCAUUCCCCAAUGCUGUUCCUCCAUCACAAACCCCAGCACCCUCUGUGAUGCUGUUUCAUACUGUUGUGUUGAUUUCUGAGUAUGGUUGACAUCCAUCAAUCUCUCCUUCUCACCCCUGGGACGUGACCAGUGCUGAGGUAAGAAUAGGUCAGAAGGGUGGGUAUGCUAGUCGCCAUCUCAUCCAAAAUCAGAAAUUUUGAAUCUGUUUUACGUCCUUCCUAGUGUUAUGAGUAGAAGCAAAAGAAGAGAAAAGACAUGCAAUAGUUCUCAAAAAACAUGUUCACAAUGUGUUGUGGAAGGGUAUUCUUUCCCCUAGAAUUGUGAAUGAGCAAGAAACUUGGAGAAGAGAAAAGCAGUAACUAAGCUUAUUGUGGCAAUUUUGUACUAUUUUCUUUGAGGUGAGUGGCAUCUUCAUGAUUGGAAUAUUAGAGAGAGCUUUUCACUUCCUUCUCUACUAAAAAUGGUGAUUUGAAAUUUUUAACACAAUGGACUAAAGAAUAUGCUUCACGACGGGAUGGGGACUGGAGGCAGAAUCAAAAGUCAAUGAGAGUUCAUUUACUCUCCCAGGUUGCAUUGACAAAAAAAAUCUUCAAAGAGAAAAUUGGUGUAGUGAUUACUUGUACUUAAAAAUGAACAGUGACUUCAUUAGAAAGAUGAUAACUAAGUCCUGCCUCUCAUUAUUUUGCUCAUCUUUUCUAGAUCAAGUUUUCUUUAAAACUAAAAGUAUAGAGAUGGUAAAUUUAUAUUAUCUUGGUAAAAAUGAAGUAUUCUAUUUAACUUUGUAAGAAUAUGAUUAUUGAUAUGCCCUUCCAAAGACUGUUUUAUUAAAGACCUAAAUCAAAUAAAUAUAAAAACAUACUAUAUGCUCCUUGAAUUUCUAUGAAUCACCAUUAAAAUAAAUGUAAACAAUUUAUUAUUUAUUGGAGUACAUACAGAAUGUACUGUGUUCCUUAUACUAAUAACAAUUAGCUGUAUUAUUUUUUGUAAUAAUACAAUAUAAGGUUGUUGUCACCACAUUUUGAGGGCUCUAAAAUGUGUACAAACAAAAAAAAACAUCAACAAAUAUUUCACUUUCAAAGAUAAAAGAGGGAAAAUAGAUGCAACAUCAGAGGCUUUUUAACAAACUUUAAAUAUUUUCUAUUUGUGAAGACGGAGUACAACGAGCAAAUCACUUUACCUAAAACUGAUUCUCAUGUUUUGCCUUGAUAAUUAAAGAAUACUGAGUUAAAUAACACCGAACUACCAGAUAAUGUGAGUAAAACCAUGGUAAAAAGUCAAAUUAUCUCAUAUCUUUUUCUAAAUUCAUUCAGACACAUUAUUUUUUGGGAUCGGCUUAUUUCACUUAGCGUGAUAUAUAUAUAUAUAAUUUUUUUUACUGUAAUCAUUGGUUCAAGUUUUAAACGGAUUGAUUUAACAAUCUACCACUUAAAGUAUCUACAAAUUUUAAUUUGUCCAAACUUGUAAGACAUCUUGUCUUAUUCAUUAAGUUUGCUUAAUGUUUUUAAGUUAGUGUGUAGCCAUGCAACCUUUAUGGAUUCUGUAAAAUCAUUUACCAGUGCAUGGUAUAUAGACUACCUCAGAGAGGGUUUAAGGUGUAGAAACAUGGCCCUGUAUCCUCUUAACCUCUUUGUUCCAGCAGCACUGAACGUAAGAUCCAAUUCAAUAACCACUUACAGCAUAAAAGGCUAAGGCAGGGUUAUGCCAGGCUUAGUCAUGCCAGGAAUAACUGAAGCAGGGUCUCCUCACUUCUGCUGCCCUUUGCUCAUCAUGUUGGUUUUUGAUCACAGGCCUGCAGGAUGGCUGCAGCAGCUUCAGGUACUUCACAACAAGCAAAGGCUCCCUUUGAUCCUUUUUUUUUUUUUUUGUGACUGAGAAAAACUCCCCACAGCCACAGCUUAAAAUUGCAGACAUGCCCAUUCCUAAGUCAUUUACUGGCAAGGAAAAUGGUAUUUCCAUGAUUGGCUUAGAUUAAUCAAGAUGAUCCUCCGUGGGGCUGGGCAAAGGUCCAGCUUUUUCAAAGUGUGCAGUCUCCUGGUAGCUGAACAAAAUCAAGAUUCAGAUUGCAGGAAAGAGGAGUGGGCAGAACAGCUGCAGGACAGGAGGCCAACGGUGUCUCCUUUGUUGAAUCAGAGGAAGAGCCAAAAAGGAAUUGGUUCUCAAAGCAGGGUUGGUACUUUCAGGAUAUUUACCUGGUGGGAAGAGAAUAAAUUCAAGGCAAAACUGGACCCUUUCUUUCCCGAUUUGAUAUGGUAGUCUCCAUCUCUGAUGAUUUUUCAGAGAAAGAUUAAAUACUCUUCAUAUGUUUCUGGAGAAGCCUGUGGUUCCAUAUUAUAUUUGUAACUAAAUGAUAUUUUGGAAAAAAUAUAAUUGAGUCAAUUAGGACACUUCAAUUUAUAGAAACCCUCUUGCUGAUGGACUACAUAAUAGGAAACUUACCUUUUAAAAAUUUUUAUUUUACAGUAGAAUACAUUUUGACAUAUUGUACACAAAUGGAGCAUAAUUUCUCAUUCCUCUAGCUGUAUAUGGUGCAGAGUCACUCCAGUAGUGUAAUCAUACAUAUAUAUAGGGUAAUAAUGUCUGUCUCAUUCUACCGUCCUUCCCAAUCCCACAGCCCCACCCCUCCCCUCACUCUCCUCUGCACAAUCCAAAGUUCUUCAUUCCUUUAUUCUUCCCUACACACCCCCCUUCCCUCUAUGGAUCAGCAUCCACUUAUCAAAGAAAAUAUCUGGCUUUUGUUAUUUUGGGAUCGGCUUAUUUCAUUAGCAUGAUAUUCUCUAGUUCCAUCCAUUUACCUGAAAAUGCCAUAAUUUCAUUCUUCUUUGAAGCUGAGUAAUAAGGAAAACUCAUCUUUUAUCACAGAAAGUCCAGAGGUAGGGCAGGCUUCAGGCUCUUUCCGUUCCUUGGUCCUACCUUCCUCAGUAUCAGUUUUAGCCUCAGGCUGGUGGCUGUACUGACUCCAGUUACCACAGCCUUUCCAGACACUGCCCCAAAGGGGCAGGCCAGCAGCUCACUGAGAGCAGAACGACUUUUCCCAGAUGUCCCUCAAAAUACUUCUGCUCCUGUUUCACUGACCAGAGUAGAGUCAUAUGUCCAUGCUUGGGUCAAUCUCUGCUUGGAGGAUUUGCUUAGUAAAUAUGUAGGAUGUGAGAAUUCUGAUUGUAAAUUUGUUUACAUGAGACUAGGGUAACCAAUGUCCUCUCACCUCUGUAACUCUCAUUUAGAUCAGAACUCAACAGAUCUGAACCACCACAUGGUUGUGCAGAUGAAGUCUCAAUUGGAAUACAUUCCGUCCAUUUCUUAAUGGAUUGGUAGUGGCAGUUCUCAUGCUACAAUGACAGAGUUGAGUAUUUGUAGGACUGCCAAGCCCCCCAUAUUUUUUCAGUCUGGUCUUUUACAGAAAAAGUGUGCCCACCCUGAUCUAGAAUUAACAGUAGGACUUCCUUUUAUUUGCUUAAAACUACCUUAUGAAAGUAUUGUCUUUUAAUUUUAUUGUUCAUUUCACUAUAGUUGUGUAAGUAGAAAUAUUUUACCCAUUUCUCUGCAUAUUUUUACAAACUCAAGAAAUCCAAUCUAUAUGAGAGAGCUAUAUAAAGUCUAGUGAUUUUUUUUUCCAACAGAAUUAUUCUGCUUACAAUACUGACUGCUCCAGCAAUUGUCAUGCAGGACCCAACUCAUACAGACUUGCAAGAGAGAGUGUCAGCCUUGCUUUGGAAUGCUGCCUUCAGUAAACACCUUGGUAGUGUGAAAUUGACCACAGGGGGAGUAGUUAACUCAGAAAUUGGCAAACAUUACAAAUUGAAGCUUUGGCUUAUUUUCCCUGAAGAUCUGGUUGUUGAACAUUUCCCAGUACACCAUGGCUCCAGCCAUUUUUAAUACAUUCUCCAUACCAAGGUCUGUUAUACAACUAUGCAACAGAGAAUAUCUGCCCAUGAUCAAAGCAUUGGCAAUACAUUUGUAGCUUAGCAUGAAUUUAUUGUCUGUAAUGAUCAGUUAAAUCCAUCUUGCAAUGAAAUGAUGUAGCCUAUGUUUAAAAUUUUAAAAUUUUGGUUUGUGUAGGGGUUUUCCUAAGUAAAUAUUUGUAUUAGAUUGUGCAGAUGAAAUCAAAGAAAAAAUAUCUUCUCUUUGUACUUUCUGAAGCUACGAGUAUAUUUAUAUUGUAUAAUUCAUGUAAACCACUUAUGUAUGAAUAAAGCAGGAUUCAGC